CUUUUAUUGGAAAUUUGAUUGGUUUUAAAACUAUUUGGAUUGGAUCAUGGCGACAACUAUUUCAGAAAUAAGUUGGUGGUGGAAGUCAUCAUGGAAGAACAACAAUGCUGUCAUAUAAUUCAUUCUCAAAGUUACAGUCAGUGGCGAAGGACGUCAUGGAGGCGGAGUUGUCAGACAGAUGCAUCGCUGAUGGGUUUACGUGUUCAGGUACUGAGGUAAAC